rnacentral:lncRNA from 1 species
AUCGUGUAACUUGAUCAUCUUGAGUUCUUCUUCCUCCUCUUCCUCUGCCUUGAUUCUUGCUUCUGCUUUGUGUAGCUACUAGUGCUCUUUCGGUGGAGUUUGCUUCUCUCAAGGCUAUCCUGUGCUCCAAUGUUUGCAGCUUGCCCAAUAAUUUUGCAACUGAGAGUGUUUUAAGAUUGCAAGUUUCUUCAAUCACUGAGAUUUUUGCCUUGAAUCUUGCAGGGAGACUCACCAACAUUUUUUCAACUACUAUUCUGUCUUCGAAGUCUUCUCCGAGC